UGCCAGGUUGGGAUUCCCAGGCAACCCGCGCUCCAGCCUAGUGGCAAAAUAAGAGAUACUAUUUUCCCGCCCAAAGAUACGUUUCUCCCAGACGAUGGUGCCAGGAAAGAGAUUUUUCUUUUUCAAAGGAUUUGUUCUGGAAGCUGGGAAGUCCAAGGUCAAGGUCCCCGCAGAUUUGGCAUCUGGUGGCUCCCGAGCUGGACUGCAUUUCCCAUCCUUCUCUGCACCUGGACAUGGCCGCCAAACGGGUUCUGACCAAAAGACGGUGUUUAUGGAGCCCCUACCAGGUGCCAGACCCUGAGCGCUAAACACCGGGCAAGGCUGUCCCAAAGUGGCUGGUUCGUGCACACUCAGUGGGGAGCCACCACCUGCGAUGUUGCAAUCAUCUGAGCGGACCCAAGGUCUUGUAGCAAAGGUUUGGGCGCCCAGGUAUGGAGGCAGUUCACAGAUGUGAUCUCAGCAGCUCUACGUGGAUGAUAAAGGUGAUUCAAAAAAUAAAUAAAUAAAAUACAUUGGG